rnacentral:snRNA from 1 species
GCUCACUUCAGCAGCGCAUAUACUUAAAUUGGAAUGAUACACUGAAGAUUAGCAUGGCCUCUGCACAAGGAUGACAGGCAAAUUUGUGAAGCAUUCUAUAUUUUU